CCUACGGGAGGCAGCAGUGAGGAAUAUUGGUCAAUGGGCGUAAGCCUGAACCAGCCAAGUCGCGUGAGGGAUGACGGUUCUAUGGAUCGUAAACCUCUUUUAUACGAGAAUAAAGUGUGGGACGUGUCCCAUUUUGUAUGUACCUUAUGAAUAAGGAUCGGCUAACUCCGUGCCAGCAGCCGCGGUAAUACGGAGGAUCCGAGCGUUAUCCGGAUUUAUUGGGUUUAAAGGGUGCGUAGGCGGCCUUUUAAGUCAGCGGUGAAAGUCCGUGGCUCAACCAUAGAAUUGCCGUUGAGACUGGGGGGCUAGAGUGUGUGUGAGGCAGGCGGAAUGCGUGGUGUAGCGGUGAAAUGCUUAGAGAUCACGCAGAACCCCGAUUGAGAAGGCAGCCUGCCAAGCCAUGACUGACGCUGAUGCACGAAAGCGUGGGGAGCAAACAGGAUUAGAUACCCUGGUAGUC
rnacentral:rRNA from 1 species